UACGUAGGUGGCGAGCGUUGUCCGGAUUUACUGGGCGUAAAGGGAGCGUAGGCGGACUUUUAAGUGAGAUGUGAAAUACUCGGGCUCAACUUGAGUGCUGCAUUUCAAACUGGAAGUCUAGAGUGCAGGAGAGGAGAAUGGAAUUCCUAGUGUAGCGGUGAAAUGCGUAGAGGUUAGGAAGAACACCAGUGGCGAAGGCGAUUCUCUGGACUGUAACUGACGCUGAGGCUCGAAAGCGUGGGGAGCAAAUAGG
rnacentral:rRNA from 1 species